UACAGAGGUCCCAAGCGUUGUUCAGAUUCAUUGGGCGUAAAGGGUGCGUAGGCGGCGCGGUAAGUCGGGUGUGAAAUCUCGGGGCUUAACUCCGAAACUGCAUUCGAUACUGCCGUGCUUGAGGACUGGAGAGGAGACUGGAAUUUACGGUGUAGCGGUGAAAUGCGUAGAUAUCGUAAGGAAGACCAGUGGCGAAGGCGGGUCUCUGGACAGUUCCUGACGCUGAGGCACGAAGGCCAGGGGAGCAAACGGG
rnacentral:rRNA from 1 species